UCUGUGUCUGUUUUUGUAUAAUUACGUGUGCUUGUGUAUGUGUUUGUGUGUAUGUGUGUGUUUGUAGUGUAAUAUGUGUGUUUGUGUAUAUAAUAUAUGUGUUAAGGUGUAUGUGUGCGUGUAUCUAUGUGCUUAUGUGUGUGUGAAUGGGGGGUUUAUGUAUGUGUAUGUUUUUUUUGUGUUUGUUUAAGUGUGUGUGUGUUUGUUUGUGUCUUUGAGAGUGUUUGUGUGUAUGUGUCUUUGUGUGCGUAAUAUGUGUGGGUGGGUGGGUGUGAGU
rnacentral:lncRNA from 1 species